UUGUUGCAGUUAAAAAGCUCGUAGUUGGAUUCCUGACCUGGGGUAGCCGGUCCGCCUUGCAAAAGGUGCGCACUGAGCGGCCUCGGUCAUCCUUGAGAAGAGCGGUCCUGGCAUUCAGUUGUCGGGGUCGGGAUUCUCGACGUUUACUGUGAAAAAAUCAGAGUGUUCAACGCAGGCUUACGCCUUGAAUACAUUAGCAUGGAAUAAUGAGAU
rnacentral:rRNA from 1 species